rnacentral:rRNA from 1 species
GUGCCAGCCGCCGCGGUAAUACGGAGGGGGUUAGCGUUGUUCGGAAUUACUGGGCGUAAAGCGCACGUAGGCGGAUCAGAAAGUUGGGGGUGAAAUCCCGGGGCUCAACCCCGGAACUGCCUCCAAAACUACUGGUCUAGAGUUCGAGAUAGGUGAGUGGAAUUCCGAGUGUAGAGGUGAAACUCAUAGAUAUUCGGAGGAACACCAGUGGCGAAGGCGGCUCACUGGCUCGAUACUGACGCUGAGGUGCGAAAGUGUGGGGAGCAAACAGGAUUAGAAACCCUAGUAGUCC